rnacentral:rRNA from 1 species
UACAGAGGGUGCAAACGUUGCUCGGAAUUAUUGGGCGUAAAGCGCAUGUAGGCGGCACGGUAAGUUCGUUGUGAAAGCCCUUGGCUCAACCAAGGAAGUGCAACGAAAACUGCCGAGCUCGAGUUCUGAAGAGGGUCGCGGAAUGGCCAGUGUAGAGGUGAAAUUCGUAGAUAUUGGCUAGAACACCAGUGGCGAAGGCGGCGACCUGGGAAGAUACUGACGCUGAGAUGCGAAAGCGUGGGGAGCAAAC